rnacentral:rRNA from 1 species
UUCGAUUAAGCCAUGCGAGUAGGAAGAAAUUAGAUUCUUUGCGAACUGCUCAGUAACACGUGGAUAACCUGCCCUAUGCUCCGGAAUAACCUCGGGAAACUGAGAAUAAUACCGGAUAGAUCACAACGCCUGGAACGGUGUGUGGUUGAAAGAUUACGGCAUAGGAUGGGUCUGCGGCGUAUCAGGUUGUAGGGGGUGUAACGGACCUCCUAGCCAUCGACGCGUACGGGUGUUGGGAGACAUAGCCCGGAGAUGGAUUCUGAGACACGAAUCCAGACCCUACGGGGUGCAGCAGGCGCGAAAACUUCACACUGCAGGAAACUGUGAUGAGGGAACUCCAAGUGCGCGCACUUAGUGUGCGCUUUUGUUGACUAUUAAUCGGUCAAUGAAUAAGGGCUGGGAAAGACCGGUGCCAGCCGCCGCGGUAAUACCGGCAGCUCAAGUGGUCGUCGCUUUUAUUGGGCCUAAAACGUCCGUAGCCUGUUUGGUAAAUCUGUGGGUAAAUCAACCAGCUUAACUGGUUGAAUUCUGCAGAGACUGCCAGACUAGGGACCGGGAGAGGUGUGGGGUACUCUAGGGGUAAGGGUAAAAUCCUGUCAUCCUUAGAGGACCACCAGUUGCGAAGGCGCCACACUGGAACGGAUUCGACGGUCAGGGACGAAGCCUAGGGGCACGAACCGGAUUAGAUACCCGGGUAGUCCUAGGUGUAAACGCUGUGAACUUGGUGUCGGGGAUCCGUAAUGGGUCCCCGGUGCCAGAGUGAAGAUGUUAAGUUCACUGCCUGGGGAGUACGGUCGCAAGGCUGAAACUUAAAGGAAUUGGCGGGGCAGCAC